AUUGAACGCUGGCGGCAGGCCUAACACAUGCAAGUCGAACGGUAGCACAGAGAGCUUGCUCUCGGGUGACGAGUGGCGGACGGGUGAGUAACGUCUGGGAAACUGCCCGAUGGAGGGGGAUAACUACUGGAAACGGUAGCUAAUACCGCAUAACGUCGCAGGACCAAAGUGGGGGACCUUCGGGCCUCACACCAUCGGAUGUGCCCAGAUGGGAUUAGCUAGUAGGUGGGGUAAUGGCUCACCUAGGCGACGAUCCCUAGCUGGUCUGAGAGGAGGAGCAGCCAAACUGGAACUGGGACACGGUCCAGACUCCUACGGGAGUCAGCAGUGGGGAAUAUUGCACAAUGGGGGCAAGCCUGAUGCAGCCAUGCCGCGUGUAUGAAGAAGGCCUUCGGGUUGUAAAGUACUUUCAGCGGGGAGGAAGGCGGUGAAGUUAAUAGCUUCACCGAUUGACGUUACCCGCAGAAGAAGCACCGGCUAACUCCGUGCCAGCAGCCGCAGUAA
rnacentral:rRNA from 1 species